UCCCACUCUUGGAAGGUGACUUGGGUCACCCUCCGGGUCUCAGUUUUUUUUGUUUAUUUUUUCUUUUUUUAAUUUUAUUUUUCCUUUUUUUUCCUAUCGCGUUCCCUCUUGUUUGUAUUGUGUGUGGAAAUGGCGUACUCGGCAAACACAAACACCGUGCCUAAAUUGUACAGAUCUGUGAUUGAAGAUGUUAUUAAUGACGUACGAGACAUUUUUCUGGAUGAUGGGGUGGAUGAACAGGUCCUGAUGGAACUAAAAACUUUGUGGGAGAAAAAACUACUGCAGUCUAGGGCAGUAGAUGGAUUUCAUUCAGAAGAACAGCAGCUUUUGUUGCAAGUUCAGCAGCAGCAUCAACCCCAGCAGCAGCAGCAGCAGCACCACCACCACCACCAGCAAGCGCAACCUCAGCAAACGGCACCUCAGCAAGCACAGACCCAGCAGGUCCUUAUUCCUGCAUCACAGCAAGCUACAGCACCACAAGUUAUUGUUCCUGAUUCUAAGCUGCUACAACAUAUGAAUGCAUCAAGUAUUCCGAGUGCUGCUGCUACAGCUGCUACCUUGGCGCUCCCUGCAGGAGUGACGCCUGUUCAGCUACUAACAAAUUCAAGCCAGCUGCUUCAGGUGGUCAGAGCAGCCAAUGGUGCCCAGUAUAUCUUGCAGCCUCAGCAGUCAGUUGUUCUACAACAAGUUAUACCACAAAUGCAGCCUGGUGGAGUCCAAGCGCCUGUUAUCCAGCAGGUCUUAGCCCCACUUCCUGGAGGGAUGUCACCACAGACAGGCGUCAUCAUCCAGCCACAGCAAAUCUUAUUUACAGGAAAUAAGACUCAGGUCAUUCCUACAACAGUGGCAGCACCCACACCGGCACAAGCGCAGAUGCCUGCAGCUGGACAGCAGCAGCCACAGGCCCAGCCUGCCCAACGGCAAGCUCCGUUGGUGCUGCAAGUUGAUGGAACAGCGGAUACAUCCUCUGAGGAAGAUGAAGAAGACUAUGAUGAUGAGGAGGAGGAAGAUAAAGAGAAAGAUGGAGCUGAAGGUGGGCAGGUGGAAGAAGAGCCCCUCAACAGUGACGAUGACUUAAGUGAUGAGGAAGGGCAGGAACCCUUUGACACAGAACAUGUUGUUGUCUGCCAGUUUGAUAAGAUACACAGAAGUAAAAAUAAAUGGAAAUUUCAUCUCAAGGAUGGCAUUAUGAAUCUUAACGGAAGAGAUUAUAUAUUUUCCAAAGCCACUGGAGAUGCAGAGUGGUGAAGAGAUGC